AUUGAACGCUGGCGGCAUGCUUCACACAUGCAAGUCGAACGGCAGCACGGACUUCGGUCUGGUGGCGAGUGGCGAACGGGUGAGUAAUACAUCGGAACGUGCCCAGUUGUGGGGGAUCACUACUCGAAAGAGUAGCUAAUACCGCAUGGGAACUGAGGUUGAAAGCAGGGGAUCGUAAGACCUUGCGCAACUGGAGCGGCCGAUGGCAGAUUAGGUAGUUGGUGGGAUAAAAGCUUACCAAGCCGACGAUCUGUAGCUGGUCUGAGAGGACGACCAGCCACACUGGGACUGAGACACGGCCCAGACUCCUACGGGAGGCAGCAGUGGGGAAUUUUGGACAAUGGGCGAAAGCCUGAUCCAGCAAUGCCGCGUGCAGGAUGAAGGCCUUCGGGUUGUAAACUGCUUUUGUACGGAACGAAAAGCUUCGGGCUAAUACCCUGGAGUCAUGACGGUACCGUAAGAAUAAGCACCGGCUAACUACGUGCCAGCCGCCGCAGUAACAC
rnacentral:rRNA from 1 species